rnacentral:rRNA from 1 species
AUUGAACGCUGGCGGCAUGCUUUACACAUGCAAGUCGAACGGUAACAGGCCUUCGGGUGCUGACGAGUGGCUAACGGGUGAGUAAUGCAUCGGAACGUACCCAGAGGUGGGGGAUAACGCAGCGAAAGCUGUGCUAAUACCGCAUGUGAUCUGAGGAUGAAAGCGGGGGACCGAGCAGCAAUGUUUGGCCUCGCGCCUUUGGAGCGGCCGAUGUCGGAUUAGCUAGUUGGUGGGGUAAAGGCCUACCAAGGCGACGAUCCGUAGCUGGUCUGAGAGGACGACCAGCCACACUGGGACUGAGACACGGCCCAGACUCCUACGGGAGGCAGCAGUGGGGAAUUUUGGACAAAGGGCGCAAGCCUGAUCCAGCAAUGCCGCGUGCGGGAAGAAGGCCUUCGGGUUGUAAACCGCUUUUGGCAGGAACGAAACGGUGUCCGCUAAUACCGGGCGCUAAUGACGGUACCUGCAGAAUAAGCACCGGCUAACUACGUG